AUUGAACGCUGGCGGCAGGCCUAACACAUGCAAGUCGAACGAGUGGCGGACGGGUGAGUAAUGUCUGGGAAACUGCCCGAUGGCGGGGGAUAACUACUGGAAACGGUAGCUAAUACCGCAUACCAUCGGAUGUGCCCAGAUGGGAUUAGCUAGUAGGUGGGGUAACGGCUCACCAAGGCGACGAUCCCUAGCUGGUCUGAGAGGAUGACCAUCCAAACGGGAACUGAGAGACGGUCCAGACUCCUACGUGAGGCGGCAGGGGGGAAGAUUGCACAAUGGGCGCAAGCCGGAUGCAGCCAUGCCGCGUGUAUGAAGAAGGCCUGCGGGUUGUAAAGUACGUUCAGCGGGGAGGCGUUACUCGCAGAAGAAGCACCGGCUAACUCCGUGCCAGCCGCCGCGGUAAUUC
rnacentral:rRNA from 1 species